UGGGGAAUAUUGCACAAUGGGGGAAACCCUGAUGCAGCGACGCCGCGUGAACGAAGAAGGUAUUCGUAUCGUAAAGUUCUGUCCUAUGGGAAGAUAAUGACAGUACCAUAGAAGAAAGCUCCGGCUAAAUACGUGCCAGCAGCCGCGGUAAUACGUAUGGAGCGAGCGUUGUCCGGAAUUAUUGGGCGUAAAGGGUACGCAGGCGGUUUAAUAAGUCGAAUGUUAAAGAUCGGGGCUCAACCCCGUAAAGCAUUGGAAACUGAUAAACUUGAGUAGUGGAGAGGAAAGUGGAAUUCCUAGUGUAGUGGUGAAAUACGUAGACAUUAGGAGGAAUACCAGUAGCGAAGGCGACGUUCUGGACACAAACUGACGCUGAGGUACGAAAGCGUGGGGAGCAAACAGG
rnacentral:rRNA from 1 species